rnacentral:rRNA from 1 species
CUAGCUGCGCUCCUCAGUACAGCAUCCACGAGAAUCCUAGUCAAUGGCGAGCUCUCCGACAGGAUUGACCUUAUGAAGGGCCUCAGGCAGGGCGAUCCUCUUUCCCCACUGUUGUUUGUUUUGGUGAUGGACUGCCUAGCAAAACUAAUUGACAAGGCAGCGAACCUGGGAAUUCUG